CGGAUCCUUCGGGAUUAGUGGCAGACGGGUGAGUAACGCGUGGGAAGCUACCUUGUGGUAGGGGACAACAGUUGGAAACGACUGCUAAUACCCUAUGAGCCCUAUGGGGGAAAGAUUUAUCGCCAUGAGAUGUGCCCGCGUUAGAUUAGCUAGUUGGUAAGGUAAUGGCUUACCAAGGCGACGAUCUAUAGCUGGUCUGAGAGGAUGAUCAGCCACACUGGGACUGAGACACGGCCCAGACUCCUACGGGAGGCAGCAGUGGGGAAUAUUGGACAAUGGGGGCAACCCUGAUCCAGCCAUGCCGCGUGUGUGAUGACGGCCUUAGGGUUGUAAAGCACUUUCAGCAGUGAAGAUAAUGACAUUAACUGCAGAAGAAGCCCCGGCUAACUUCGUGCCAGCAGCCGCGGUAAUACGAAGGGGGCUAGCGUUGUUCGGAAUCACUGGGCGUAAAGAGUACGUAGGCGGACUGAUAAGUUAGGGGUGAAAUCCCAAGGCUCAACCUUGGAACUGCCUUUGAUACUGUCAGUCUUGAGAUCGAGAGAGGUGAGUGGAACUCCGAGUGUAGAGGUGAAAUUCGUAGAUAUUCGGAAGAACACCAGUGGCGAAGGCGGCUCACUGGCUCGAUACUGACGCUGAGGUACGA
rnacentral:rRNA from 2 species